GACCUUAAGGCCCAAUGGGCUUCGAACGUCAAGUCCAUUGACUUAAGUUGUAUGAAAACUUAAUGAAUAAUGAUUCACAAAGGCCCAAAUAGUCCAAUGAAUCCCUAUGGCCGGCCAUUUAGAGAUGGAGUGGGUUUUUGGACUUAUUUACAAGUUUGCCACUCCAAUGAAUUAAGGUAUAAAUAUGACUUUAUAGCCAAAAUUCAUUUAGGGUUUCUUUUUGGGAAAGGAUGAGAACACAAAGCUCUCAUUUCUCUCUAAAGAGGCCGGCCACCCUUGAGGAGAUUAGCUAGCAAUCCAACUUCCUCUA
rnacentral:lncRNA from 1 species